rnacentral:lncRNA from 1 species
GGGCCUGGAAGGAGCUUGAGUUUGGACCUUUGUCUCUUAUUCUACUAGUUCAAUGCAGUAGGUGCUGGCUUGCGAUGUGGAACCGGGGGCCUAACGUUGUCCACUAUUGGAAAAAAAUGCGAAGGAUUCUAUCAAUUAUGCCUUAGUCAAAACUGUUGAGUAGGUGCUGAGUUCAAAUAUAUACAAUUGCUGUUUAAUUUCAGGAUAGAGGCCCCA